UACGGGGGGGCAAGCGUUGUUCGGAAUUACUGGGCGUAAAGGGCUCGUAGGUGGCCAACUAAGUCAGACGUGAAAUCCCUCAGCUUAACUGGGGAACUGCGUCUGAUACUGGAUGGCUUGAGUGUGGGAGAGGAAUGCGGAAUUCCAGGUGUAGCGGUGAAAUGCGUAGAUAUCUGGAGGAACACCGGUGGCGAAGGCGGUUCUCUGGGCCUUACCUGACGCUGAGGAGCGAAAGCGUGGGGAGCGAACAGG
rnacentral:rRNA from 1 species